rnacentral:sRNA from 1 species
GCAGAUCGUGCAGGUGUUAGGGUUCAUCCGGCUCGGGCGGAUUCCAAAGGCACGGAAGGGAAUGG